CCUGGACAGAGUGCAUGCAGCGCUGCAGCUGAACUAAACGUUCUUUGACACCUCCAGUCUGCAAAGACAAUGCCCACAGGUGGUGCCAAGUUUAGUGUGCCGACUGUCCCCUGAGAAAGGACCUGCUGGCCUGUGCCUGAUACACUGCUUAGUCGUUGUUAGCACACGUGAAUGGACAGACAGAAGGCUUAACCUGGGGGAAAUUAUGCCUGUGCUCCGACCUCCGAGGAGCAUCUGAGAUGGCUGGAUGCAAAACCCCCAUCCUGCAGGCCGUCGU